UCUCUGCCCCGCACCCCCCAGGCCGGUCCCCGGCUGAGCCCUGCCCCCGGGGUCCCUCCCCAGCCUCUGGCCGUGUCCCCAUCAGCUGGCCAGGGUGCGUGCUCAGUGCCGAGCUGGGGGUGGUACCUGGAAAUACCGGUGAUACGCCGAAGCCUGGAACUCCAACGCCUGGGAAAAAAGCAACAGCCAGUGACAGCCGAUGACAGCAGUGGCAUUCUAGCGUGGACUGGGGACAGCCUGGCUGGGAUCCCUUGCUUACUCCAGGAACAGGAGCUGAUGCAAAAGCCGCCAUGCCCACCCUGGCACCUCUCUGGCUUCCCAGUGCUCCCCCAGGCAGCCUUGUGCCCAGCAGGGAAUGGCAGCAGCAUGGGGACAGCAAGCGGGAACGAGUGUGGCAGGACCAGGGACACAGUCCCACACCAGCCCCAAACUGCAGCACUCACCUGGCUGCAGCCCCCCAGCACCAAAACCUGCAGCACUCCGCUGCUGCUGCUGCUCCCUGCAGCCCAGCUCUGGGGAGCCUCACACCGGGACCAGCGUCACUCACCGAGGCCACCAACUCCGAGCCCACCGACUCCAAGGCCACCUACAAGGAGUAGCCUGGGUGAGCACCAGCAGGGACAGACAGUGUCCCCAGUAUCUGACCCACUCCUCAUCCAGUCCCAAGUGUGCUCAUCCUUUCUCAGGCAGCCCUGCUCCCACCAUGCCCAGAGGGAGCAUUCCUCCAGCUCCACCCCUCUAGGGGAGCAUCCCUCUGCCUGCACAUCCCCACUGCCUGGGCUCAGCUCCUGCCAGCACUUACCUGGGAGGCCACCAACCCCUGGGACUCCAACCCCAGGAACACCUGCCAGAGAGACACCAUUAACACCUACACCUGUCCUGCACAGCUCCAGCUCGGAGCACCCCCAGCCCCUGCCCAACCUGCUGGGGUGGCCCUGGCACCCAUGCUGGGAGUCCCCAGCACCCAUCUCACAGUACCAGAGGGGCUUCAGCCCCUGCAUGACACAUGAAGGAGAAAACUAUCCUCAGUGAGCCCAGAGCAGGGGGUACAGGUGGCACUUUGCACCCAUGGGUGAUGGCACACCCCUUCCCACGCCUGGGCCAUUGGGGCAAAGUGAGCAGGCAGGGGAUAGGAAGAGAGGUCAGCACCCCGAUGGCCGCAGGAGAAGGGUGUCUGAGGCGGCCCUGGGGCAGGAGGCAGGGGUACGUACCGAAUUUGGGAGGUUUAGCACCAGGCUGCACCCCUACUUGGGGGAUGCCUGCAAAGUGAGUGAGGACACCAUGGUUAGGACAGUCACCCCCACACCGCUCUCAUGUGCCACCACCCUCCAUCCCACCCGAAUCCCUCCCUGCCACCCCUUCAGGUGGCUCGGUGGCUUUUGGCAUUCCCAGCCACCACUGUCCCCAAGCAGGGCGGGACAAAGCAUGUACCUGCCCCGGGAACGAUGCCAGUUCCAGGUACUCCUACCCCUGGCACCAAGCCGGGCACGCCACCAACACCGGGUGUCACUCCAGGCACUCCGCCCACGCCAGGUACGGCCCCUGGCACCCCCCCAACCCUGGCACCUGUAGAGAGAGGGGUGAGGCAGCAGGCGUGAUCCCCACGCUCAGGUGGGAUGAUGUGCCAGGCCUGGGCGCUCAUGCCCAGCAUCCCCUGCACUGCUCAGUGCCACACCAGGGCUGGCAGGGAGCCUGAGGGGCUCCCCAGGCUGACUCACCAAAUUUAGCUGCCUUGGCUGCUGCUUUGGCUGCUGCUGCUGGACCUCCAACACCUGGGCACAGACAGCAAGGGGGGGUCAGCCCCUGGGGAGGCCUCACAGCAGCCUUGUCUGCAUCCCCCCAGGGGACACUGCUGAAGUUCUCCUCAAGCCUGUUGUGCCCCCA
ensembl:lncRNA